UGAGUAACGCGUAUGCAACCUACCUAUCGAGAGGGGAAUAACCCGGACGAAAGUCGGACUAAUACCGCAUAAAACAGGGGCACCGCAUGGUGAUAGUUUGUUAAAGAGAUUCGCUGAUAGAUGGGCAUGCGUUCCAUUAGGUAGUUGGUGAGGUAACGGCUCACCAAGCCGACGAUGGAUAGGGGAACUGAGCGGUUGGGUCCCCCACACUGGUACUGAGACACGGACCAGACUCCUACGGGAGGCAGCAGUGAGGAAUAUUGGUCAAUGGGCGGGGAGCCUGAACCAGCCAAGUCGCGUGAAGGGAAAAGAAGGAUCUAUGGUUCGUAAACUUCUUUUGCAGGGGAAUUAAAGUGCAAGGACGUGUCCUGUUUUGUAUGUACCCUGAGAAUAAGGAUCGGCUAACUCCGUGCCAGCAGCUGC
rnacentral:rRNA from 1 species